GUGUAAGUCUUUAACAUUGGGGAAGAUUCAAUAAAAAAAUAAGUUUUUUUACAAUUAUAUAACACAUUAUUAUGUGAGAAUUUUUGAUAAAAUAAGUGAGCUGGUUCCUGAAAAGAUUAAUGACUCAUAGUCUGGGUAUUUUUUAAGCAGAAUUCUGUGUAAAAAUAGACACAGUAAAAUUUUUCUGGGUGUCCACUAGAUAGUAGUGAACACCCAGUGUACAUGGUAAAUUAAUGAAUCAGUAAAAUGUAUCAUAAAAUAUUU